UGAGAUGUGGCUCAGUGGUAGAGUGCUCGCCUAGCACGUGUGAGGCCCUGGGUUUGAGCUUCAGCACCACAU
rfam:Ictidomys tridecemlineatus contig029449, whole genome shotgun sequence.